rnacentral:rRNA from 1 species
GGCGCACGGGUGAGUAAUGCAUAGGUAACGUGCCCCUUAGUCUGGGAUAGCCACUGGAAACGGUGAAUAAUACCGGAUAUUCCUUCUACCUUAAUGGUAGUCGGGAAAGUUUUUCGCUAAGGGAUCGGCCUAUGUCCUAUCAGGUAGUUGGUGAGGUAAGAGCUCACCAAGCCUAUGACGGGUAGCGGGUCUGAGAGGAUGAUCCGCCACACUGGUACUGAGACACGGACCAG